rnacentral:tRNA from 1 species
GGCUUGUUAGUAUAUGGGUUAACACACUUGCCUGUCACGCAAGAGAAACGGGUUCGAGUCCCGUACAGGCCG